UACGGAGGGUGCAAGCGUUAAUCGGAAUUACUGGGCGUAAAGCGCACGCAGGCGGACCAUUAAGUCAGAUGUGAAAGCCCAGAGCUUAACGUUGGAAUUGCAUCUGAAACUGGCAGUCUAGAGUCUUGUAGAGGGGAGUAGAAUUCCAGGUGUAGCGGUGAAAUGCGUAGAGAUCUGGAGGAAUACUGGUGGCGAAGGCGGCCCACUGGACAAAGACUGACGCUCAGGUGCGAAAGCGUGGGGAGCAAACAGG
rnacentral:rRNA from 1 species